GCCAUUGAAAGAUUCGGUGCUAGCAGAAUGGCAAUAAUGGCAAUUCUAAAGAUGUGGAAAACCAUAAAGAGACACCACAUCAGUGGAGAAGAUGGAGGUGGAUGAUGAGGAAGAUGAAGAGAGGGAAAACCACAAUAAGGAUGUGUAAAACAGUGUUGAAGUGGAUAUCGGACGGGCUGGGUAGAAUGUUUACCUCAACAAAACCAGAACUCUUCUUCAUUCUGCCAGUGAUUGCACUUUAGAGAGUGAGACGAAGGAUGAGGAGCUGAAGAUGGAGCUCCAUGUCCCUGGCCUGCUUCUCCCAGGCACUGAUCCAGGAAGUAACGUCCAGGUGUGUCUGGACACCAUUAGGGAGGUGAUGGGGCUGAAGUCGUGGCAUUCCGGGUGGCGAUCCUGGGCUACAUACAGGUGAUGGUGUUCUGUAAUCUGUUCACCAUGAACCAGACCAAAUACAAGAGGGAAAUCCAGAACUUUAUAUUACCAUUAUAUGUGACGAUCAAGUGGAGGUCAGAGAGAUGGCGGCCAUUACAUUAAGUGGUUUACUACAUUGUGGAUUCUUAGACAUGGAUAAAGACAUGCUGGAUCACUUUGAAGUGCUGAGUAAGAAUAAGGUUAAGAAGCGUAGCUCUCGGAUGCCAUGCCUCUGGAAGCACUGAUAAGCGGCACGCUGGGGUUCUGGCCUGAGUGCUUUGUGGAGGCCUAUCCCUACGACGUCCCCGAGUUCAUGCCACAGAUCCUGAUGGACCUCAGUAAUCAUGUCAAUGAUCCCCAGCCUAUACAGAUGACUGUGAAGAAGACACUGUCCAACUUCCGUAGAACUCACCAUGAUAACUGGCACGAUCAUAAGCAGAUGUUUACCGACGACCAGCUCGUUAUUUGACUGAUCUUCUAGUGUCCCCCACUUACUAUGCUUGACGACCGUUAACGUCAUAGGAGAUGUUAACUUUAUGUAACCAGUGCAUCUACAGCAGGGGAGUUCAGAGUUAUCUUUCCUUUAGUAGGAUUUCUGAACACGUCAAUACUAGUAGUUUCUCAUUUUCCCAAGAUUACAAGUCCUAAAUUAAAUCCAAUAUAUUGUAUAUAUAAUAAGUGUACCUAAUUAUUUAAUUAAAGUACAUUCAUGAAAAAAAUGAGGGCAUUGAAAGAAAUACAUGUGUGUAUUAUAUAUGUACUGUUAUUAAAGACAUAAAAACCAGCUUUAUAACAAUUUGCUGGCAGUGUUUUUGCUGGUUCGGUGAAGGAGGACUUAGUUUUGUAGGUGUUCUGUGCAUAGGUGCCUUCACUGUUAACAGCUUAUGUCCAUAUUCUCCCUGUAAUGAUUUUGCAAUGAAGUGUUUUAUUAACCUUCCUACACCAGUUGCUAAUGAUACAUGUGCUUGAACAUGUCAGACUUAUCGUAUAUAUAUUUACAUAUAUGUCAAAGAUUUCCUGGUCAACUUGAAGUGCAGUGCCAAACAUUUAGUCAAAAAUGCUUAGAAAUAAGUCCAGCUUUUUUUGUCAUCUUGAUGAUGUGCAUGUACAGGUAUGCAGGCGGCCACAUUAACUAUCAGAUUCUUCCAUGUUCAUUUCCAUGAAAGGAUACAUAUUAAACAAUCUACAUUGUCUUAUUGGGAUGUCAAACUCAGUGUGUGUUAAUUAGCUUGAUUAUCAAUAUUUUUGGGUGCCAGAAAAAUGUUUUAUUCCUUUAUACAGCAUUUAUUAUUAUAUUUUCAAAGCAUACCUGCAGUUGAUUGUUUUAUUCAUUUAUAAUGUGGUUUUAAAAAAAAUAAAUGUUCAAUAAAAGU
rnacentral:misc_RNA from 1 species